AAAUAAGAGAACACAUCUCAUAAAAUUUUAUAACCAGUUUCCCUUUAUUCACUAAUUUUGGGUAUUACAAAAACAAUUGAUAGUACGCCUUGUUGCUCGACGAAAUACCUGCAUCAUCAAUAUAAUGCAUGCAACUAAUACUAUGCGAUCUGCUAGGGAAUGAUGAGAAGAGCCAGCCAACAAGGCAGAGCAGAGAGAUAUGCAUAUAGAGAUAUGAAUCAUUGGACGCAUGAAAAUUAAUGCGACAAGGAAGAGAAGCGAUGCAUGCAUAUGACAUGAUGAUUCAUGCGGCGGCGGCGGCGUGGUGUGUGAAUCCGAAGGCGAUGUGCGCCAUCCGCCCGUACUCCCUGUCGUGCGCGGCGACGGGGACAUCCUCCUCGCCCUUCCACGCGUCCUCGCAGCUCUCGGAGGCGCCCAUCGCCGCGGUCAGCUGCUCCAUGGCCUUGCCGUAGAUCUUGGCCUUGAGGUUGUCCAGCGCGUCGCGGAGGAGGUCGGCGGCGCCGCCGUACUGCUCCAGGCAGUGGUUGAAGCGUGCGCGCGCCUGCGGAUCCGACGACGCCGCCUCCAGCUCCGCGAGGUCGUCGAUCUUGGACUCGGUGCUGGCGGCGUGGUCGAUGGCCAUCCUGGUGGCCAGCACCGCCAGCGCGUGCAUGUUCUUGUUGCCGGCCUCCUUGCUGCGCGGGUCGGCGCCCAGCGACGCCAUGCAGUGGUCGUAGGCCACGCCGGCGUGCGUCUCCGACGCGCUGCGGCACGCCUCCUCCACGCUCACCGGGGUCGCGCACUCCUGCGGCGGCUCACGAUCCAUAGUCAUCGCAAUUGCAUCAGCAGGCACCAACUCCAUCUCCAACUCCACCGCCUGCGCCACACCAACAACCAGCAGGCUGAGGAGGACCAGUAGCGCUAGCGACCUCAUCGCCAUUUUCGACCUACUGCUGCUUACUGACUUAUUAGCUUGGAUGAACGAUCGAAGAUCUACUAAUAUACCGGCCGGUUGCCUGCCUGCUACCUGCUGGCUAUAGAAAUGAAAGAGAGAGAGAGAGAGAGAGAAUAUAAUUAAUGGUGUCGAAC
rnacentral:lncRNA from 1 species